GGAGAAGGCUGUGAUUCAGUGGUAGAGCAUCUGCUUUGCAAGCAGAAGGUCCCAGGUUCAAUCCCUGAUAUCUCCA